rnacentral:rRNA from 1 species
UAGGGAAUCUUCGGCAAUGGGGGCAACCCUGACCGAGCAACGCCGCGUGAGUGAAGAAGGUUUUCGGAUCGUAAAGCUCUGUUGUAAGAGAAGAACGUGUGUGAGAGUGGAAAGUUCACACAGUGACGGUAACUUACCAGAAAGGGACGGCUAACUACGUGCCAGCAGCCGCGGUAAUACGUAGGUCCCGAGCGUUGUCCGGAUUUAUUGGGCGUAAAGCGAGCGCAGGCGGUUUAAUAAGUCUGAAGUUAAAGGCAGUGGCUUAACCAUUGUUCGCUUUGGAAACUGUUAAACUUGAGUGCAGAAUGGGAGAGUGGAAUUCCAUGUGUAGCGAUGAAAUGCGUAGAUAUAUGGAGGAACACCGGUGGCGAAAGCGGCUCUCUGGUCUGUAACUGACGCUGAGGCUCGAAAGCGUGGGGAGCAAACAGG